UACGUAGGGUGCAAGCGUUAAUCGGAAUUACUGGGCGUAAAGCGUGCGCAGGCGGUUGUGUAAGACAGGUGUGAAAUCCCCGGGCUUAACCUGGGAAUUGCAUUUGUGACUGCACGGCUAGAGUGUGUCAGAGGGGGGUAGAAUUCCACGUGUAGCAGUGGAAUGCGUAGAUAUGUGGAGGAACACCGGUGGCGAAGGCGGCCCUCUGGACGGUGACUGACGCUGAGACGCGAAAGCGUGGGGAGCAAACAGG
rnacentral:rRNA from 1 species